UAAUAAGUGUUUUAUGGCACUUUUUAAAUCCAUAUCCACCCUUGUGUGCAAUGUCAGUCGAUCUUCUUCAUGGAGAUCGACCAAACAUCAACCUUUAUCUUUUAGCUCUUUGUCUGAAAAAUAUUAUGAAUAAACAAUUCAAAAUA
rnacentral:misc_RNA from 1 species